rnacentral:misc_RNA from 1 species
AACGCACAUUGCGCCCUUUGGUAUUCCUCAGGGCAUGCCUAUUCGAGCGUCGUUUCGACCCAGCGCAAGCUGUUUUGGGGCCUGCCAGUGGCAGCUCUUAAAAUCAUCGGCGGCAGCAGCGAGCCAAACGCAGCAGAUUGCGCGCACCUCGCGGCGGUCGCCGUUAAACACGCCUUGGUUCGCCUCGGCACACAGCUCGACCUCGAAUUAGGUAGGGAUACCCGCUGAACUUAA